rnacentral:rRNA from 1 species
GUGGGGAAUCUUCCGCAAUGGACGAAAGUCUGACGGAGCAACGCAGCGUGAACGAUGACGGCCUUCGGGUUGUAAAGUUCUGUUAUACGGGACGAAUGGUACGACGGCCAAUACCCGUCGUAAGUGACGGUACCGUAAGAGAAAGCCACGGCUAACUACGUGCCAGCAGCCGCGGUAAUACGUAGGUGGCAAGCGUUGUCCGGAAUUAUUGGGCGUAAAGGGCGCGCAGGCGGCGUCGUAAGUCGGUCUUAAAAGUGCGGGGCUUAACCCCGUGAGGGGACCGAAACUGCGAUGCUAGAGUAUCGGAGAGGAAAGCGGAAUUCCUAGUGUAGCGGUGAAAUGCGUAGAUAUUAGGAGGAACACCAGUGGCGAAAGCGGCUUUCUGGACGACAACUGACGCUGAGGCGCGAAAGCCAGGGGAGCAAACGGGAUUAGAAACCCUGGUAGUCC